GUCCACGCCCUAAACGAUGUCAACUAGUUGUUCGGUGAGGAGACUCAUUGAGUAACGCAGCUAACGCGUGAAGUUGACCGCCUGGGGAGUACGGCCGCAAGGUUAAACUCAAAGGAAUUGACGGGGACCCGCACAAGCGGUGGAUGAUGUGGAUUAAUUCGAUGCAACGCGAAAACCUUACCUACCCUUUACAUGUCAGGAAUCCUUGAGAGAUUGAGGAGUGCCCGAAAGGGAACCUGAACACAGGUGCUGCAUGGCUGUCGU
rnacentral:rRNA from 1 species